rnacentral:pre_miRNA from 7 species
CCGCAAUGCAGUCUGAGGCUGGUGAUGUGUUGCUCCAUACUGUGGUCUGUCUGUACUUCCACUGCACACCAGGAUGGACCGCUGCACACCAACAGCGCAGACAAACGGCC